CUGAGUUACCGCUCAUCAACCCUUUGUGAACAUACCUUAACUGUUGCUUCGGCGGGUAGGCGUCCCCUAAAAAGGACGUCUCCCGGCCCUCUCCCGUCCGCGGGUGGGACGCCCGCCGGAGGAUAACCAAACUCUGAUUUAACGACGUUUCUUCUGAGUGACACAAGCAAAUAAUCA
rnacentral:misc_RNA from 1 species